UUAUCAGGGCAUAGUUCUCAGCUGCAGCCCAGCCCUCCCCCAGAGCCCCUGGAACCUCAGAACCAGCAACCGAAAGCAAAAUGCCUGAUGCCCUGCCCCCACCCAGCUGGCAGCCCCGUCAUGUGUGCUCUGGCCAUACCACUUGUUAAAAACAUUUUGAAUAUUACCUCUGUGUCAGUUUAUUUACAUAGAAAGUUAUUUCAUAUCUUCAUGUCCGUUAAACCUGAGUUCACUAGUUUUUACUAAUUGCAACAUUUCGAAAUGGAUCAUUUCUUUUGUCUAAAAUAUGUAAUAGGUUCCAUGGGCAUCUAUUCAAAUUUUGAAAGAGCAUUUAUACAAAUCAUGUUAACCCAGUUGCAAUGAAAUACCAAAGUCUCCAGUUUUACUUUCUCUUUUCUACCAAAUAAUGUUUUAAUAGACGGGUGGUUGUUACCAGAGCUGAAAAAUGGUUAAUCCUCCUCCUAUGGUAACCUCUGUGUAUGUCACACCAAAGAAUCACCUCUGUUCUCUCUCCCCAGCCCUGGACAGCCAUUCACGUGCCUUUGCUGAACUCUACAAGUAAUACUGAUGAUGCCAGCAUUUACUGCUUCCUAAUUAUUCUGCCCAGGCCCAUCUGUAAGAAUGCGUUACAGUUACAUUUUAUAGAUCUUCAAGGGCCACCAGCUUGAUUAACUGGCAUUAAUUACACUGUAUUUUUCUCAUUAUCCACUGGGAGUGAGCAUUGUUGUUUUAGAUGAGAUAAAAUGUAGCGUAGUGAAACGAGUAACACUUCUCUUUCAGAGUUCUGAAACGGCUGCUCUGUGUUUACCGUGGGAGCCUGGAGUUAGGCGCUGGUGGGAACUCGCGCGCCGAAGCUGUGACAGACGGUGGGGCUCUCGUGGUGUGAGGAUCAUCUCUCUGUACAGGACUGCUGACACUAGGAAGUAAAAGGACAAAUAACUUGAUGAAGAGGAGCCCUGAUUCCGGGUGGCUGUGUUUUCAGCAGCAGCAACAGUGGAUCGACAGCUGGCCCCGGGCCUCUGUGCUCUCUAGGCCCAGUCUUCAUUCAGCUGCCCGACUGUAGAAGCAGCUCUGUAGCGGCAGUGGGGGCGGGGGAGGGGAUAGCCUGCCCCUCUCCCCACCGCAGCCCUGCAAACAACUGAGCUGGCAGUGAGCGGAGGGUCCUGGGAAGGUCAGUCUUGUGGAAGGCCCAGGCCCAGGGAGGAUGGGCCCGCCCUCCUGGAGCCGCAUGGUCCCACUUUGGUGUUCUGACAUUGACAGUUGUGGGCUGACCCAGGGCUUAAAACAUGAUGCAGCAUCAGGCAGACCAAGGGCUUCCUCCAGGUCUGGGCAGGCCAGUGGCACAGGUGAGCGAACCUGCCCUCAGCAAAACCACACUUUCUCCCUAUCUCCACAGACAGCUGCUGAGCAAGGCGGUGAGCCCCCAAACUCCCUUUUUAAAAAAUCAGAUGCCAUGGGAAACAGUAGAUCAUGUUUCGAGGAAUUUAAAAUCUGGGAGGAGACAGAUGCGCACACUCCCACAAGUGGCUUCUGCAGGUGGGCUCCUUUAGGUCACACUGGAAGACAGUGACAGCUCUAAGUCCCCUGGGCCUGGGUCAUCCCUGAAGCAACAUGAUCACUCCGAGCGAACCCGCAGAAGGCCCAGAAAGUCUAGGUCCUUGGCAAGACAGAGUCCCUGAGCCCGGAUUUCCAUCACCGAUCGCUGUCACCAGGCCCCAGGCCCCAGGCCAUUCGUACUGCCUCCAAAAAAUCUACCCCAGGAGCCAGAACUUUCUCUCAAGUGAUUUUCAGGGCUUCAAGGUGAUCUUUACAGCGUCAUUUCAAAAUGAGGGCUGGAAUACACAAUUAAAUCAAGGUGAUGAAAGGAACAGAAUGUUUCUAAUAAACAGUUUUAUAAUAAUGA